AGAACGAACGCUGGCGGCAUGCCUAAUACAUGCAAGUCGAACGAACACUUCGGUGUUAGUGGCGCACGGGUGCGUAACGCGUGGGAAUCUGCCCUUGGGUUCGGAAUAACAGUUGGAAACGACUGCUAAUACCGGAUGAUAUCGAAAGAUCAAAGAUUUAUCGCCCAGGGAUGAGCCCGCGUAGGAUUAGCUAGUUGGUGAGGUAAAGGCUCACCAAGGCGACGAUCCUUAGCUGGUCUGAGAGGAUGAUCAGCCACACUGGGACUGAGACACGGCCCAGACUCCUACGGGAGGCAGCAGUAGGGAAUAGUUGGACAAGUGGGCGCAAGCCUGAUCCAGCAAUGCCGCGUGAGUGAGUGAAGGCCGUUAGGGUUAGUAAAGUCUUACUUUUACCGAGUAUGAUAA
rnacentral:rRNA from 1 species